rnacentral:lncRNA from 1 species
ACCAGAAAUCCUGAGUGUAGUUUUCUGCCAAAUAGGUGCUAGUUAAAACCAGCUGCCUGAAGCGGAACUUUUGCCUGCUUGAAGCUUUGCCUGUGAGCCAAUCUCAGACUGAGCCCUUUCAAAGGAGAGCCUGCUCUGCAUGUGCUUUUCCAGGAUGGAUGAAGAUUCAGGAUUGUUUCAGGGGAGAAAUCCUGGCUGAAAUUCAGUGGGACACAUCUACACUCUUGCAAUGAAUGUACAAGGUAUUGGGACCCUCCACUGGAAUGAGCUGUGGCAACACCCAGGGCCAGCUGAGCCAUAUUGGAG